UGACUGGCUUGGCAAUUGGGUGCAGAAUCUGUUGUCUGAAAGAGAUCUACGCUGCAGAACUUUGCUGAGGAUACUUGGAUAGGAUAAAUGGAGAAUAAACUUUUGCCAGCCUCAUUAUUAAUCCUAUGGCUUCAUCUUGUCCGAGUGAGCAGUGAAUUGACCGUGGAACAGAGUCCUCAGUCACUGCAUAUUCAUGAAGGAGAGAGCACCAACUUCACCUGCAAUUUCCCUUCCAGCUCUUUUUAUGCUUUACACUGGUACAGAUGGGAACCUGCAAAAAGCCCCAAGAUCCUGUUUGUACUCGCUUCAGAUGGGGAUAUAAGGGAAGAAGGACGAGUUAGUGCCAUUCUUAAUACUAAGAAAGGCUUUAGCCAUUUGUUCAUCAAAAGAUCCCAGCCCGAAGACGCAGCCACGUACCUCUGUGCGUUUGGCACAGUGCUUUUAAGGCACCUGCAGGCUAUACCCAAACCUGUGGCUGGUGCUACUUAG